rnacentral:lncRNA from 1 species
CUUUGGCUUCCUCCCAGAGUCCUUGCCUCUGAGGGUCAGCAGCAGCAGUUCCUGAGGGUCUUUCACAAAUACAGUGAUCACAAGCAUAGCAACUGCGGCUGCCAAGUGCCACUGAACAGAAAGGUAGCAAAGACUGAGCUACUGGCUGCACCUGUAUUAUAUGUUCAUAGUACUCACCGAACAAGUUACGGCCAUAAUUGAAUGAGGUGCAAGAUAAGAAGAGCGCAUUGCUAGAUGUGGUGAUGAAUCCCUGUGGUCCCAGCACUUUGGGAGGCCAAAGCAGGCAGAUCAUAAGUUCAAAUCCUGCCAAGGCAUCAGAGUGACUUAGCAAGACCCCAUAUCAAAAUAAAAAAUAAAGAACUGCCUGGG